CCCCCCCCCCCAUAAGAGGUCCAGCCUGCCCAGUGACCCAGUUCAACGGCCGCGGUAGCCUAACCGUGCGAAGGUAGCGUAAUCACUUGUCUUCUAAAUAAAGACUAGUAUGAAAGGCAUCACGAGAAUUCAACUGUCUCCUUUUUUCAAUCAGUGAACCUAAUCUCCCUGUGAAAAAGCAGGAAUUUACAAAUUAGACGAGAAGACCCUAUGAAGCUUUAAACACUAGUCAACUGCUAGCAUUACUAUACCCCGGCCCCAAAUUUAUGCACCAUGAUCACAUGUUUUUGGUUGGGGUGACCGCGGAAAAUAACCUAACCUCCACAAUGAAAACCCUCAAGCCACAACUUUAAGUAUCAACAAAUUGACA
rnacentral:rRNA from 1 species